AUUGAACGCUGGCGGCAGGCCUAACACAUGCAAGUCGAACGAGUGGCGGACGGGUGAGUAAUGUCUGGGAAACUGCCUGAUGGAGGGGGAUAACUACUGGAAACGGUAGCUAAUGCCACAUUCCAUCAUAUGUGCCCAGGUGGGAUUCGCUUGUUGGUGGGGUAACGGCUCACCAAGGCGACGAUCCCUAGCUGGUCUGAGAGGAUGACCAGCCAAACUGGAACUGAGACACGGUCCAGACUUCUACGGGAGGGAGCAGUGGGGAAUAUUGGACAAUGGGCGCAAGCCUGAUGCAGCCAUGCCGCGUGUAUGAAGAAGGCCUUCGGGUUGUAAAGUACUUUCAGCGGGGAGGCGUUACCCGCAGAAGAAGCACCGGCUAACUCCGUGCCAGCAGCCGCGGUAAUUC
rnacentral:rRNA from 1 species